rnacentral:rRNA from 1 species
AGUGAACGCUGGCGGCAGGCCUAACACAUGCAAGUCGAGCGGCAGCGGGUCCUUCGGGAUGCCGGCGAGCGGCGGACGGGUGAGGAAUGCGUCGGAAUCUGCCUUUUUGUGGGGGAUAACGUAGGGAAACUUACGCUAAUACCGCAUACGACCUACGGGUGAAAGUGGGGGACCGCAAGGCCUCACGCAGAAAGAUGAGCCGACGCCGGAUUAGCUAGUUGGCGGGGUAAAGGCCCACCAAGGCGACGAUCCGUAGCUGGUCUGAGAGGAUGAUCAGCCACACUGGAACUGAGACACGGUCCAGACUCCUACGGGAGGCAACAGUGGGGAAUAUUGGACAAUGGGCGCAAGCCUGAUCCAGCCAUGCCGCGUGUGUGAAGAAGGCCUUCGGGUUGUAAAGCACUUUUGUCCGGAAAGAAAUCCAAUCGAUUAAUACUCGGUUGGGAUGACGGUACCGGAAGAAUAAGCACCGGCUAACUUCGUGCCAGCAGCCGCGGUAAGAC